rnacentral:rRNA from 1 species
AGUGAACGCUGGCGGUAGGCCUAACACAUGCAAGUCGAACGGCAGCACAGUAAGAGCUUGCUCUUACGGGUGGCGAGUAGCGGACGGGUGAGGAAUACAUCGGAAUCUACUUUUUCGUGGGGGAUAACGUAGGGAAACUUACGCUAAUACCGCAUACGACCUACGGGUGAAAGUAGGGGAUCUUCGGACCUUGCGCGAUUGAAUGAGCCGAUGUCGGAUUAGCUAGUUGGCGGGGUAAAGGCCCACCAAGGCGACGAUCCGUAGCUGGUCUGAGAGGAUGAUCAGCCACACUGGAACUGAGACACGGUCCAGACUCCUACGGGAGGCAGCAGUGGGGAAUAUUGGACAAUGGGCGCAAGCCUGAUCCAGCCAUACCGCGUGGGUGAAGAAGGCCUUCGGGUUGUAAAGCCCUUUUGUUGGGAAAGAAAAGCAGCAGGUUAAUACCCCGCUGUUCUGACGGUACCCAAAGAAUAAGCACCGGCUAACUUCGUG